rnacentral:rRNA from 1 species
AACGAACGCUGGCGGCAGGCUUAACACAUGCAAGUCGAACGAGAUCUUCGGAUCUAGUGGCAGACGGGUGAGGAACACGUGGGAACAUUCCUUUCAGUUCGGAAUAACGUUGGGAAACUAACGCUAAUACCGGAUACGUCCUUCGGGAGAAAGAUUUAUCGCUGAAAGAUUGGCCCGCGUCUGAUUAGCUAGUUGGUGAGGUAACGGCUCACCAAGGCUACGAUCAGUAGCUGAUCUGAGAGGAUGAUCAGCCACAUUGGGACUGAGACACGGCCCAAACUCCUACGGGAGGCAGCAGUGGGAAAUAUUGGACAAUGGGCGCAAGCCUGAUCCAGCCAUGCCGCGUGAGUGAUGAAGGCCUUCGGGUUGUAAAGCUCUUUUGUCCGGGAAGAUAAUGACUGUACCGGAAGAAUAAGCCCCGGCAAACUUCGUGCCAGCAGCCGCGGUAA